rnacentral:rRNA from 1 species
ACCCUUAUCUUCAGUUACUAACAGGUCAUGCUGAGGACUCUGGAGAGACUGCCGUCGUAAGAUGUGAGGAAGGUGGGGAUGACGUCAAAUCAGCACGGCCCUUACGUCCGGGGCUACACACGUGUUACAAUGGGGGGUACAGAAGGCAGCUAGCGGGUGACCGUAUGCUAAUCCCAAAAGCCUCUCUCAGUUCGGAUCGAAGUCUGCAACCCGACUUCGUGAAGCUGGAUUCGCUAGUAAUCGCGCAUCAGCCACGGCGCGGUGAAUACGUUCCCGGGCCUUGUACACACCGCCCGUCAAGCCAUGGGAGCCGGGGGUACCUGAAGUACGUAACCGCAAGGAUCGUCCUAGGGUAAAACUGGUGACUGGGGCUAAGUCGUAACAAGGUAGCCGUACCGGAAGGUGCGGCUGGAACACCUCCUUUCUGGAG